UACGAAGGGGGGCUAGCGUUGUUCGGAAUUACUGGGCGUAAAGCGAACGUAGGCGGUGUUCCAUGUCAGAGGUGAAAGCCUGGGGCUCAACUCCAGAAUUGCCUUUGAAACGGGGACGCUUGAGUCCGAGAGAGGAUGGCGGAAUUCCUAGUGUAGAGGUGAAAUUCGUAGAUAUUAGGAAGAACACCGGUGGCGAAGGCGGCCAUCUGGCUCGGUACUGACGCUCAGGUUCGAAAGCGUGGGGAGCAAACAGG
rnacentral:rRNA from 1 species